rnacentral:rRNA from 1 species
GAGUUUGAUCCUGGCUCAGGAUGAACGCUGGCGGCGUGCUUAACACAUGCAAGUCGAACGGGGGUGCCAUGAACGAAGCAUCAGUUUACUGAUAUGGAGGGAAUGGGACCCUAGUGGCGGACGGGUGAGUAACGCGUGGGUAACCUGCCCCAUACCGGGGGAUAACACUUAGAAAUAGGUGCUAAUACCGCAUAAGCGCUCGGUACUGCAUGGUACAGUGUGAAAAACUCCGGUGGUAUGGGAUGGACCCGCGUCUGAUUAGCUUGUUGGCGGGGUAACGGCCCACCAAGGCGACGAUCAGUAGCCGGCCUGAGAGGGUGGACGGCCACAUUGGGACUGAGACACGGCCCAAACUCCUACGGGAGGCAGCAGUGGGGAAUAUUGCACAAUGGGGGAAACCCUGAUGCAGCGACGCCGCGUGAGUGAAGAAGUAUUUAGGUAUUAAAGCUCUGUCAGCAGGGAAGAAAUGACGGUACCUACCAAGAGCC